AGCAACUGCUAACAGCGAGGAGGGGUUUUGAAAGGUAAAGGCCAUUAGCUUGGAGGCAGAAGACAGACCUCCCUGACUGCUGAAUUCCUGCCGGCCUGAAAUUGGAGCAUUCCAAGCUCCUCAGAUGAGUCAUAAGCCACCAAGAUUGUGAGCCUCUGGGCUUCUCCCAGCUUGUAGGAGAAAUGCCUUGCAGGUGAAGAUGGUGAGGAAGUUGGCCCUGAAAUAGCCCAGCCCCUCGAAGAGACAAACAGGGAGGAGCAUCAUUCAGGUGCUUCACUGGGAAAUGAACCAGGAUAAUGUUCAUCUUAAAAUAACCUACUUCAAUGAACAUUCGGCCAAAAGACAAAAGGAAGGUAUUGCUAGGUAAUGUGCAGCCACUCUGUCACAGUCUUUUUUUUUUAAAUGAACACAAAUUCCUUGACUGUCUUCUUGCUGAGAGGUGAGGUCUCUGUCCCCCUCCUCUCCCUACUUGAAUCUGGAUGAGCUUGUGACUCACUUAUAACCAAGAAUAUGGAAGAAGUGAUGCUGUGUGAUCUCCUCAUGCCUGGAGCCUGUGAGCCUCUCUCUGAGAAGUCCAGUGCCCCUGAGCCCACCAUGCUGAAGAAGCCACCUGGAGAAGCCCCUGUUGACAGAGAGCCAGCAUCACCUGCCAGUCACCAGAAGGGAGCCAUCUCAGACAUCCAGCCCAGCUGAGCCUUCAACUGACUGCUGCCCCAACCAACAUGUGAACUGCAACCGCAUGAGAGACCCUCAAGUGAGAACCGCCCAGCUGAGCCUUUCCCAAGUUCCUGGCCCACAAAACCCAGAACAAAUUAAAAUGAGUGUUUUAAGCCAUUAAGGAGCAGGGUAAUUUGUUACACAGCAACAGUAACCAGGACACAUUCCCAAACCUAACUAGGAGGAAAUUUCCUCUUGAUAAAAAUGCUGAUUUUUUUAUUCAUCCUAGACCUUCAUAAGUCAGAAUCAUCUGUGGAUAAGGUAUAAGAAUCUGCAUUUUUUUUAAGACAAGCUCUCCCACCCCAGGUGAUUCAGAUGCACAGCCAGGUUUGGAAAUUUAAGACCUUGGAAGAGAGUCACAUUGCCUCUCUCUGAGUCUCAGCUUCCUUGUCUGUGAAUUGGGGAGGAGUGAGAGUUGGUGUGAGUAUCAAAGAAGACGCUGCAGGUAAAGUCUUUAGGGCCAGCCAGGCGUAGUGGCUCAUGCCUGUAAUCCCAGCACUUUGGGAGGCCAAGGCGGGUGGAUCAUGAGGUCAGGAGUUCAGCCUGGCCAAUAUGAUGAAACACUGUCUCUAUUAAAAAUACAAAAAAAUUAGCCAGGCAUGGUGCCAGGUGCCUGUAGUCCCAGCUACUCAGGAGGCUGAGACAGGAGAAUCGCUUGAGCCCAGGAAGCGGAGGUUGCAGUGAGCCGAGAUCACACCACUGCACUCCAGCCUGGGCGACAGAGCAAGACUCUGAGAAAAAAAAAAAAAA
rnacentral:lncRNA from 1 species